rnacentral:ncRNA from 1 species
ACUUAAUUUAAUUUCAGUUAACCGGUUAAUUGAAUUAAUUGAUCUAUAAAUUUAGUUUUUAAAUGGUGUUUAUUUAUAUAGUGAAUUACAUAUUUGGUUAAAUGGUGUAGAGAUUUAUUUUAAAAAUGAAUGAAAGUUUGAUUUAGUGAUUAAAUUUAACAAAGGUAAUUUUGAGUGCCAGCAACAGCGGUUAGACUCAAUUUGUAAGUUAAUCUAUUUAAUUUUUGGGUUGGUGUGUAUUAUGAAGUAUUUAAUUAAAUUUGUUGAGAUAUAGUGAAAUGUUUUUAAUUAAAUAUAUUAAAUUUUAUUUGACUAAUAUUUGUUAAAUUUUUAAAAAGACUAGGAUUAGAUACCCUAUUAUAGAAAUGAUUUAAGUUGAAUUGAUUAUUAAAUGUAAAUCAUUAAAAUUAACAAAUAUGGCGGCUUUAUAAUUUAUUUAGAGGAAUUUGUGUAUUAAUUGAUGAGCCACAAUAGGAAGGACUAUAAAUUUAUUAACUUUGUGUAUUGCUGUUUGAAGAGUUUAUUAAGAUAUUAUUCUUGCUGUAUUUAAUUGAAUAACAAUUCAAGUCAAAAUGCGGGAUUUUAUAGGUUGCAUGAAUUACACUGAAUUUGAUUUUUGGAUGAAUUAUUUUAAUAUAGUUUUGAAAUUGGAUUUAAAAGUAAAUUUAUUGAAUUAAAUUUGUUGAAGAUAAUUUUAUUUAGUGUACAAAUUGCCCGUCAUUCUCAUUAUAAGUGAGGAAAGUCGUAACAUAGUAAAUGUACUGGAAAGUGUAUUUUUUGGAAA